UCUCUGAUGGUCCAGUGGUAAGAUUCCGAGCUCCCAAUGCAGGGGGCCCAAGUUCGAUCCCUGGUCAGGGAA
rnacentral:tRNA from 1 species